rnacentral:rRNA from 1 species
UAAGUAAGCGGAGGAUAAGAAACUAAAUAGGAUUCCCUCAGUAAUGGCGAAUGAACAGGGAUCAGCUCAGGAUGGAAAUCGGGGCCCUGCGGCCUUGAAUUGUAAUCUGGAGAUGUACCACCAACUGGGGCACAGAUGUAAGCCUCUUGGAAAAGAGCAUCAGUGAGGGUGAGAAUCCCGCAUGUCAUCUGCAGUCCCCAGUGCACGGUGUACCUUCUAAGAGUCACGUUCCUCGGGAUUGGAGCGCAAAUUGGGUGGUAAAUUUCAUCUAAAGCUAAAUAUUGUUUCGAGACCGAUAGCAAACAAGUACCAUGAGGGAAAGGUGAAAAGGACUUUGAGAAGAGAGUUAAAAGUGCCUGAAAUUGCUGAAAGGGAAGCGAAUGGAACCAGUGCAGCUUGGCAAGAUUGUCACGAGCCAAUGUGAUUGCUUGCUGCUUCAACGAAAAGUGUGGCAGUAGGUUUUGAGCAUGAUGUUCGUGGUGCUUCUUGCCUUGUGUGUCAACAUUAGUUCGCGGCUGAGGAAAACUUCAGGGACAUGGUAGCCUGUCUCCGGGUGGGUGAAUGUGCUUGCUGGAACUCAUCUGUGGUCUGGUUGUUGACUAAAUGGUUUCAUCCGACCCCG